rnacentral:lncRNA from 1 species
CCACCGCUCUCCAAGGACUCUCGAGCAGCUCCAUCUACAGAUUCACAUGGAGAAGAAUUAAGGGUUCCUGCCAAUCACCAGCACCACUUUGCCAGCCUUGUAAGUGGGCCACCUUGGAAUUGGAGCCUCCAGUUCCUACUGACAUCUGACUGCAACAUCAUGAGAGACCCUGAGUUUGAACCACCCAGCUGAGCUGCUUCUGAGCUAACCCACUGAAACCACAGUUGGCAUCUGUGUGAAGAUGUGAAUGGAGGAGGCAGAGUAGGCAGUGAGUGCCGCAGCCACAGCUUGUGUUCUCUGCAGCCCUGGCACAGAAGAUAGGAACACUCAUGGGGGAUGCGGCCACUGUGAUGUCUUCCCACACAAGAAGUGCCAAGUGCUUUUCUCAUGCUUUUCUGGAUUGUCCCAUGGUGGACGAGUCAGCAGGAGUGAGAUGGAGCAGCACAGUAGAGGGGCCAGGAUAUCGUUGUACAUAUUCUCAGCUAAGUGAGCACCAAUAGAGGAGAGGGAGAGUCUCAUGGAAGUUCCUUCUAAGCCUUUGGCUCUUUUUACCUUCAACAAGGUUCCUUAGAUCCUGGGAUGAGGAGGUGGACCAGCAGAAGGUGGGCUUGUGAAGGCAGCCCGGGGUCCAAAUCCUCCUGGCUCUUCAGCUUAGCGGGAUGUCACCUUCAGCGUCUGAAAGCUGGGUUUGAUGCGUCUGGAAAGGCGUCCCUGACAGGCGUCGUUGCCAGGAGCCCCUAGUGCCACCAGCAGCCAGCAGGGGAGGGCGUCCUCUGCCCGCUCACUUCUGACCCUUCUCUCGUUGCACCCGGAACAUGGUGCAGCUGGGAGCAGCCUGGGCUGCGCGGAAGGCUCAGAUUUGGGGACGGCCCUUGCCAGUGACUGUGAGCUGGGGUGUCUUGGAAACUCCCAGUCUCAGCUUCUCCAUUUAUAAGAUGAGAAUGAUCAUACCAGACUCAGGCAAGGUUGUUUGUGCAUUAGUGAAAUCAGACGUAUUAAAUAAAGUACCACAUUGAUCGUGGAGUUGUUGAAUAACCAAGAA